rnacentral:rRNA from 1 species
AACUAACAAGGAUUCCCCUAGUAACUGCGAGUGAACCGGGAAAAGCUCAAAUUUUGAAUCUGGCGGUCUUUAURGCCGUCCGAGUUGUAAUCUAGAGAAGCGUCUUCCGCGCUGGACCGUGUAUAAGUUUCCUGGAAUGGAACGUCGUAGAGGGUGAGAAUCCCGUCUUUGACACGGACUGCCAGGGCUAUGUGAUGCGCUCUCGACGAGUCGAGUUGUUUGGGAAUGCAGCUCAAAUAGGGUGGUAAAUUCCAUCUAAAGCUAAAUAUAGGCGAGAGACCGAUAGCGAACAAGUACCGUGAGGGAAAGAUGAAAAGAACUUUGGAAAGAGAGUUAAACAGUACGUGAAAUUGCUGAAAGGGAAACGCUUGAUGUCAGUCGCGUUCGUCGGGGAUCAGCCUUGCUCUUUUGCUCGGCGUACUUCCUGGCGAACGGGUCAGCAUCAGUUUUGUUCGUCGGAAAAUGGCUCGAGAAAUGUGGCACUCUUCGGGGUGUGUUAUAGACUCGGGUCGAAUACGACGUCCGGGACUGAGGAACUCAGCACGACCUUCGGGUUCGGGGCUUAGGCCCACGUUAACGUGCUUAGGAUGCUGGCAUAAUGGCCUUAAGCGACCCGUCUUGAAACACGGACCAAGGAGUCUAACUCGCAUGCGAGUGUUUGGGCGAUUAAAACCCGAGCGCGUAAUGAAAGUGAAAGUCGAGACCCCUGUCGUGGGGGGCAUCGACGCCCGGACCAGAGCUUCUGCGACGGAUCUGCGGUAGAGCAUGCGUGUUGGGACCCGAAAGAUGGUGAACUAUGCCUGAAUAGGGUGAAGCCAGAGGAAACUCUGGUGGAGGCU